CAAAAAGAGAAGGGGCAACCACAAUCCUCCACAAAGACGUAUAAACUUAAGUAACAAGACCAGUCAUGAUACGGUAAGGUACAUCAAACAGUACAGUCCGAGUCCGAGGUGUAUAACAACGACGUGUUUCAUUUAGUUACAAUAUAGUAAUCGGCUACUUAUCACAGCCAUCUAAAAGAGAUAAAAUCAAAAGAUACAUAAAAACGUUACGUCGAUGCGGAACAUGUAGUAAACGCGGACUUCAUCGAGUCAUUUUCUCAUACUAGGUGAAACAAUAAACAGUCCUUUGAUCAAUCUCUUUCGUACAAAAGCUAUUACAAAAAACAAAAGUCCUAACAAAAGACGAUAAUCUAUCGGUAUACAAUUCCUUUAGUUGAAGUAGAAAGAACUCCAUACAAGAAAGAAGGUCUAAACAAGGCCGUUCUCUCUCUGCUGUCCUCCACUACUUACGUGUCCUCCCCACCACAA
rnacentral:rRNA from 1 species